AGUGAACGCUGGCGGUAGGCCUAACACAUGCAAGUCGAACGGCAGCACAGUAAGCGCUUGCUCUUACGGGUGGCGAGUGGCGGACGGGUGAGGAAUACAUCGGAAUCUACUUUUUCGUGGGGGAUAACGUAGGGAAACUUACGCUAAUACCGAAUAUGUCCUACGGGUGAAAGCAGGGGAUCUUCGGACCUUGCGCGAUUGAAUGAGCCGAUGUCGGAUUAGCUAGUUGGCUGGGUAAAGGCCCACCAAGGCAACGAUCCGUAGCUGGUCUGAGAGGAUGAUCAGCCACACUGGAACUGAGACACGGUCCAGACUCCUACGGGAGGCAGCAGUGGGGAAUAUUGGACAAUGGGCGAAAGCCUGAUCCAGCCAUACCGCGUGGGUGAAGAAGGCCUUCGGGUUGUAAAGCCCUUUUGUUGGGAAAGAAAAGCAGCAGGUUAAUACCCCGCUGUUCUGACGGUACCCAAAGAAUAAGCACCGGCUAACUUCGUG
rnacentral:rRNA from 1 species